rnacentral:rRNA from 1 species
UACGUAGGGCGCGAGCGUUGUCCGGAAUUAUUGGGCGUAAAGAGCUCGUAGGCGGCUUGUUGCGUCUGCUGUGAAAUCCCGGGGCUUAACCCCGGGCGUGCAGUGGAUACGGGCAGGCUGGAGGCAGGCAGGGGAGAAUGGAAUUCCCGGUGUAGCGGUGAAAUGCGCAGAUAUCAGGAGGAACACCGGUGGCGAAGGCGGUUCUCUGGGCCUGUACUGACGCUGAGGAGCGAAAGCGUGGGGAGCGAACGGG